UACGUAGGGCGCGAGCGUUGUCCGGAUUUAUUGGGCGUAAAGGGCUUGUAGGCGGCUUGUCGCGUCGGAUGUGAAAACCCGUGGCUCAACUGCGGGCCUGCAUUCGAUACGGGCUGGCUAGAGUACGGCAGGGGAGACUGGAAUUCUGGUGUAGCGGUGGAAUGCGCAGAUAUCAGGAGGAACACCGAUGGCGAAGGCAGGUCUCUGGGCCACUACUGACGCUGAGAAGCGAAAGCAUGGGGGAGCGAACAGG
rnacentral:rRNA from 1 species